rnacentral:rRNA from 1 species
CGGACGAACGGCUGGCGGCGUGGAUUAGGCAUGCAAGUCGGACGGUAGGGCUUUAUCGUAAGAUAGAGUUUGAGAGUGGCGAACGGGUGAGUAACACGUAGGAAUCUACCCUUAAGACGGGACAACCCAGGGAAACUUGGGCUAAUACCGGAUGAGAGUGCGAGAGAUUGCAUUUAAAAGGAUGGCGAAAGUUAUCGCUUAGGGAUGAGCCUGCGGUCUAUUAGUUAGUUGGUGGGGUAAGAGCUCACCAAGGCGAUGAUAGAUAGGCGGCCUUAACGGGUGGUCGCCCACACUGGGAUUGAGAUACGGCCCAGACUCCUACGGGAGGCAGCAGUCGAGAAUAGUCUACAAUGGCCGGAAGGCUGAUAGUGCGACGCCGCGUGAACGAGGGAGCCCUUCGGGGUGUAAAGUUCUUUUCUAUACGAGCAGUGCUAUAUAUAUGGAUAGUAUAUAUAGAGGGAUAGUAGUAUAGGAAUAAGCAACGGCUAACUCCGUG